CCUACGGAGGCAGCAGUGGGGAAUAUUGGACAAUGGGGGGAACCCUGAUCCAGCCAUGCCGCGUGUGUGAAGAAGGCCCUCGGGUUGUAAAGCACUUUCAGUGAGGAAGAACGCCUGGUGGUUAAUACCCAUCAGGAAAGACAUCACUCACAGAAGAAGCACCGGCUAACUCCGUGCCAGCAGCCGCGGUAAUACGGAGGGUGCGAGCGUUAAUCGGAAUUACUGGGCGUAAAGCGCGCGUAGGUGGCUUGAUAAGCCGGUUGUGAAAGCCCCGGGCUCAACCUGGGAACGGCAUCCGGAACUGUCAAGCUAGAGUGCAGGAGAGGAAGGUAGAUUUCCCGGUGUAGCGGUGAAAUGCGUAGAGAUCGGGAGGAAUACCAGUGGCGAAGGCGGCCUUCUGGACUGACACUGACACUGAGGUGCGAAAGCGUGGGUAGCAAACAGGAUUAGAUACCCUUGUAGUC
rnacentral:rRNA from 1 species